rnacentral:rRNA from 1 species
AAGACCGGAGCUAGUACCGGAUAAUAUUUUGAACCGCAUGGUUCAAAAGUGAAAGACGGUCUUGCUGUCACUUAUAGAUGGAUCCGCGCUGCAUUAGCUAGUUGGUAAGGUAACGGCUUACCAAGGCAACGAUGCAUAGCCGACCUGAGAGGGUGAUCGGCCACACUGGAACUGAGACACGGUCCAG